UAUGGUCGACCUGCAGGCGGCCGCGAAUUCACUAGUGAUUAGAGUUUGAUCAUGGCUCAGAACGAACGCUGGCGGCAUGCCUAACACAUGCAAGUCGAACGAACCCUUCGGGGUUAGUGGCGCACGGGUGCGUAACGCGUGGGAAUCUGCCCUUGGCUUCGGAAUAACAGUUAGAAAUGACUGCUAAUACCGGAUGAUGUCUUCGGACCAAAGAUUUAUCGGCCAGGGAUGAGCCCGCGUAGGAUUAGGUAGUUGGUGGGGUAAAGGCCUACCAAGCCGACGAUCCUUAGCUGGUCUGAGAGGAUGAUCAGCCACACUGGGACUGAGACACGGCCCAGACUCCUACGGGAGGCAGCAGUGGGGAAUAUUGGACAAUGGGCGCAAGCCUGAUCCAGCAAUGCCGCGUGAGUGAUGAAGGCCUUAGGGUAGUAAAGCUCUUUUACCCGGGAUGAUAAUGACAGUACCGGGAGAAUAAGCUCCGGCUAACUCCGUGCCAGCAGCCGAGGUAAUACGAAUCGAAUUCCCGCGGC
rnacentral:rRNA from 1 species